rnacentral:lncRNA from 1 species
AGGAUUUCGGAGCCAAAGGCAGAUCAGGGUGCGAGAGGUGCCAAUAUACUGGAAAAUCAGUGGGAUAUGAAUGGAGUACAAGGGGCAUUGUAUGUAAACAAACCCUUGGUGCUGAUUCAUUGAAGACGGCUCGACGAGGACGUCGAUUUCAAAGGGUGUGGGUGUUUAGUCAGGACCCUACUCUUUGUUAUCGGGCAUGGCACGGCUGUGGCAAGGAUUUGGGCAUGAUGGCCUUGUCAUUGGCUUAUGUGCGGGCAAAACGAUCAUGCGGGUCGACGGGCUGUUGUGGACAAGUACUGGCCAAGGCCUUGGCAUGGGCAAGGCGCGCUUGGAAAAGGCUUGAAAAGGCAGCAUCGGCAAUGUUUGGGCGGCAUGGCACGGCAUGCGCACCAAACUCAGUGGCAUGACACUCUUGGGUUGUGGCCGCUAUGUGCGGGCUUGAUGGCAAAGGCUUUCAAUAGCUAGGACUAGGCUAUGGGAAAGAAAAUACAAGCAAUGGCACGAGGGAAAUGAGGGUUGGCACGGACAAGGC